rnacentral:rRNA from 1 species
GAUGAACGCUGGCGGCGUGCCUAAUACAUGCAAGUCGAGCGAACAGACGAGGAGCUUGCUCCUCUGACGUUAGCGGCGGACGGGUGAGUAACACGUGGAUAACCUACCUAUAAGACUGGGAUAACUUCGGGAAACCGGAGCUAAUACCGGAUAAUAUAUUGAACCGCAUGGUUCAAUAGUGAAAGACGGUUUUGCUGUCACUUAUAGAUGGAUCCGCGCCGCAUUAGCUAGUUGGUAAGGUAACGGCUUACCAAGGCAACGAUGCGUAGCCGACCUGAGAGGGUGAUCGGCCACACUGGAACUGAGACACGGUCCAGACUCCUACGGGAGGCAGCAGUAGGGAAUCUUCCGCAAUGGGCGAAAGCUUGACGGAGCAACGCCGCGUGAGUGAUGAAGGUCUUCGGAUCGUAAAGCUCUGUUAUUAGGGAAGAACAGAUGUGUAAGUAACUAUGCACGUCUUGACGGUACCUAAUCAGAAAGCCACGGCUAACUACGUG